UAGGGAAUAUUAGUAAUGGGCGAAAGCCUGAACUAGCAACGCCGCGUGUGCGAAGAAGGCCUUCGGGUUGUAAAGCACUUUUUGAGAGGAUGAGGAAGGACGGUACUCUCAGAAUAAGUCUCGGCUAACUACGUGCCAGCAGCCGCGGUAACACGUAGGAGGCGAACGUUAUCCGGAUUUACUGGGCGUAAAGCGCGUGUAGGUGGUUUGGUAAGUAGGGCGUGAAAGCUCCUGGCUCAACUGGGAGAGGCCGUUCUAAACUGCCGAACUAGAGGAUGGUAGAGGGAGGUGGAAUUCCGGGUGUAGCGGUGGAAUGCGCAGAUAUCCGGAGGAACACCAGUGCGAAAGCGGCCUUCUAGACCAUGACUGACGCUCAGACGCGAAAGCUAGGGUAGCAAACGG
rnacentral:rRNA from 1 species